AAAAGAAACCAACAGGGAUUGCCUUAGUAGCGGCGAGUGAAGCGGCAAAAGCUCAAAUUUGAAAUCUGGCACUUUCAGUGUCCGAGUUGUAAUUUGAAGAAGGUAUCUUUGGGUCUGGCUCUUGUCUAUGUUUCUUGGAACAGAACGUCACAGAGGGUGAGAAUCCCGUGCGAUGAGAUGACCCAGACCUAUGUAAAGUUCCUUCGAAGAGUCGAGUUGUUUGGGAAUGCAGCUCUAAGUGGGUGGUAAAUUCCAUCUAAAGCUAAAUAUUGGCGAGAGACCGAUAGCGAACAAGUACAGUGAUGGAAAGAUGAAAAGAACUUUGAAAAGAGAGUGAAAAAGUACGUGAAAUUGUUGAAAGGGAAGGGCUUGAGAUCAGACUUGGUAUUUUGUAUGUUACUCUCUCGGGGGUGGCCUCUACAGUUUACCGGGCCAGCAUCAGUUUGGGCGGUAGGAGAAUUGCAAAAGAAAUGUGGCACUGCCUCGGUAGUGUGUUAUAGUCUUUGUCGAUACUGCCAGCCUAGAC
rnacentral:rRNA from 1 species